rnacentral:ribozyme from 1 species
ACAAAAGAGAAUGAAGAAACAGAAAAAGGGAACGAAAAGACGAUAUAGGUAGUCUGUCUCUCUGUUUGUGUGUCCCUUUCUCUCUCUCUCUCUCUCUCUC